rnacentral:rRNA from 1 species
UACGAGGGGGGCAAGCGUUGUUCGGAAUUAUUGGGCGUAAAGGGUGCGUAGGCGGUUUUGUAAGUCUUGUGUGAAAUCUUCAGGCUCAACUUGAAGACUGCACGAGAAACUGCAGGGCUUGAGUGUGGGAGAGGUGAGUGGAAUUCUUGGUGUAGCGGUGAAAUGCGUGGAUAUCAGGAGGAACACCUGUGGCGAAAGCGGCUCACUGGACCACAACUGACGCUGAUGCACGAAAGCUAGGGGAGCAAACAGG